GCUCAUUCGAGUUUGGUUGACGCUUUCAUCGCUUUUGACUAAAACGCGAUAAAUGGAAAACUAUCGAGUAUGAAAAUCAAUGCAAAUUGUGGCUGUCGCCUUUUGGGUAAUUUCACCUAUUGGUAUUGAACAAACUGCAUCUGCUCCAUUCACUACUUCUGAGCUGCUGAACCCGCUUGAUGAGGAGGACUUUGUUUUGACCUGGAGAUGGGAGCUGGACCACCACAUUUGACAGCCACAACUUGUGUACUUUUGUGCUGUUGGCAAACCCCCUCUGAAUAAAGUCUUGUACCUGCCAGUUCAGCAAUAAAUGUUUUGUUUCU